rnacentral:rRNA from 1 species
AUUAGCUAGUUGGCGGGGUAAUGGCCCACCAAGGCUACGAUGGGUAGCCGGCCUGAGAGGGUGACCGGCCACAUUGGGACUGAGAUACGGCCCAGACUCCUACGGGAGGCAGCAGUAGGGAAUUUUGCGCAAUGGGCGAAAGCCUGACGCAGCAACGCCGCGUGAGGGAUGAAGGUCUUCGGAUUGUAAACCUCUGUUGAGUGGGAAGAAACGCAUUAUGGCUAAUAUCCAUAGUGCCUGACGGUACCAUUCGAGGAAGCCCCGGCUAACUACGUGCCAGCAGCCGCGGUAAUACGUAGGGGGCAAGCGUUGUUCGGAAUCACUGGGCGUAAAGGGAGCGUAGGCGGAAAUUCAAGUCAGAAGUGUAAUCCAUAGGCUCAACCUGUGGUUCGCUUUUGAUACUGCUUUUCUUGAGUAUUGGAGAGGGAGACGGAAUUCCAGGUGUAGCGGUGGAAUGCGUAGAUAUCUGGAAGAACACCAGUAGCGAAGGCGGUCUCCUGGCCAAAUACUGACGCUGAGGCUCGAAAGCGUGGGGAGCAAACAGGAUUAGAUACCCUGGUAGUCCACGCUGUAGACGAUGGACACUAGAUGUCGGACCCGUUCGCGGGAUCGGUAUCGUAGCUAACGCAUUAAGUGUCCCGCCUGGGGAGUACGCUCGCAAGGGUGAAACUCAAAGGAAUUGACGGGGGCCCGCACAAGCGGUGGAGCAUGUGCUUUAAUUCGAUGCAACGCGAAGAACCUUACCUGGGCUUGACAUGGGAGUGAAAGUUACCAGAGAUGGAGGCCUUUCCUUCGGGAACACUCUACACAGGUGCUGCAUGGUUGUCGUCAGCUCGUGUCGUGAGAUGUUGGGUUAAGUCCCGCAACGAGCGCAACCCUCGUCCUUAGUUGCCAUCAGGUAAAGCUGGGAACUCUAAGGAGACCGCCUGGUUUAACCAGGAGGAAGGUGGGGAUGACGUCAAAUCAUCAUGGCCCUUACGUCCAGGGCUAGACACGUGCUACAAUGGGUGGUACAGUGGAUGCAAGACUGCGAAGUCAAGCUAAUCCCUUAAAACCAUUCUCAGUUCAGAUUGGAGUCUGCAAUUCGACUCCAUGAAGGUGGAAUCGCUAGUAAUCGCGGGUCAGCAUGCCGCGGUGAAUAUGUUCCCGGGCCUUGUACACACCGCCCGUCAAGCCAUGAAAGAUGGCAGUACCCGUAGUCGUCUCUCUAACCGCAAGGUGGAGGACGCCUAAGGUAAGGCCGUUGAUUGGGGCUAAGUCGAAACAAGGUA